rnacentral:rRNA from 1 species
GGUGAACGCUGGCGGCGUGCCUAAUACAUGCGAGUCGAGCGAACAGACGAGGAGCUUGCUCCUCUGACGUUAGCGGCGGACGGGUGAGUAACACGUGGAUAACCUACCUAUAAGACUGGGAUAACUUCGGGAAACCGGAGCUAAUACCGGAUAAUAUAUUGAACCGCAUGGUUCAAUAGUGAAAGACGGUUUUGCUGUCACUUAUAGAUGGAUCCGCGCCGCAUUAGCUAGUUAGUAAGGUAACGGCUUACCAAGGCAACGAUGCGUAGCCGACCUGAGAGGGUGAUCGGCCACACUGGAACUGAGACACGGUCCAGACUCCUACGGGAGGCAGCAGUAGGGAAUCUUCCGCAAUGGGCGAAAGCCUGACGGAGCAACGCCGCGUGAGUGAUGAAGGUCUUCGGAUCGUAAAACUCUGUUAUUAGGGAAGAACAAAUGUGUAAGUAACUAUGCACGUCUUGACGGUACCUAAUCAGAAAGCCACGGCUAACUACGUG